CAAGUGGACAGUGAUGCGAAUUUGUUUGAUGGGAUGGGUUGCAGUGCUGGAUUGAUCUCUAUUGAUCUUGCCAAACAGCUGAAUAUAUACAGUUGAAUGCUUAGAGGACGGAUUUAGACAUUGUUACAAAAGCGAACAAAACACAAAAC